rnacentral:rRNA from 1 species
GAGAGUUUGAUUCUGGCUCAGGAUGAACGCUAGCUACAGGCUUAACACAUGCAAGUCGUGGGGCAGCGGAUACUUAGCUUGCUAAGUAUGCCGGCGACCGGCGCACGGGUGAGUAACGCGUACCGAACCUGCCCAUCACACAGGGAUAGGCUUGCGAAAGCAAGAUUAAUAUCUGAUGGUCUCAGUUGUAUGCAUGUAUGAUUGAGUAAAGCCUUCGGGCGGUGAUGGAUGGCGGUGCGUCCCAUUAGGAAGUUGGCGGGGUAACGGCUCACCAAUCCUUCGAUGGGUAGGGGUUCUGAGAGGAAGGUCCCCCACAUUGGAACUGAGAUACGGUCCAAACUCCUACGGGAGGCAGCAGUGAGGAAUAUUGGUCAAUGGGCGAGAGCCUGAACCAGCCAAGUAGCGUGCGGGAUGAAGGCCCUUGUGGUCGUAAACCGCUUUUAUCAGUGAAUAAAGUGCACCACGUGUGGUGUCAUUGCAGGUAGCUGAAGAAAAAGGACCGGCUAAUUCCGUGCCAGCAGCCGCGGUAAUACGGAAGGUCCGGGCGUUAUCCGGAAUUAUUGGGUUUAAAGGGAGCGCAGGCGGGAGUGUAAGUCAGCUGUUAAAUAUCAGGGCCCAACUCUGUUAUGCAGUUGAAACUAUAUUUCUUGAGUACGCACAGGGAUGGCGGAAUUCAGGGUGUAGCGGUGAAAUGCUUAGAUAUCCUGAAGAACUCCGAUCGCGAAGGCAGCCAUCCGGAGCGUAACUGACGCUGAGGCUCGAAGGUGCGGGUAUCGAACAGGAUUAGAUACCCUGGUAGUCCGCACGGUAAACGAUGAAUACUCGCAGUUCGGCCGUUUAGGUCGAGUUGUCCAGCGAAAGCGUUAAGUAUUCCACCUGGGGAGUACGCCGGCAACGGUGAAACUCAAAGGAAUUGACGGGGGCCCGCACAAGCGGAGGAACAUGUGGUUUAAUUCGAUGAUACGCGAGGAACCUUACCCGGGCUUGAACCAAGAGUGACGAGUGCAGAGAUGCACUUUUUCUUCGGACACUUUUGGAGGUGCUGCAUGGUUGUCGUCAGCUCGUGCCGUGAGGUGUCGGCUUAAGUGCCAUAACGAGCGCAACCCUUUUCUACGUUUGCCAUCGGGUAAUGCCGGGAACUCCGUGGAUACUGCCGCCGCAAGGCGGAGGAAGGUGGGGAUGACGUCAAAUCAGCACGGCCCUUACGUCCGGGGCUACACACGUGUUACAAUGGUCGGAGCAGCAGGAAGCUACCUGGCGACAGGAUGCUGAUCCCGAAACCCGGCCUCAGUUCGGACUGGAGUCUGCAACCCGACUCCACGAAGCCGGAUUCGCUAGUAAUCGCGCAUCAGCCAUGGCGCGGUGAAUACGUUCCCGGGCCUUGUACACACCGCCCGUCAAGCCAUGAAAGCCGGGGGUGCCUGAAAGCCGUGACCGCGAGGGUCGGCCUAGGGUAAAACCGGUGAUUGGGGCUAAGUCGUAACAAGGUAGCCGUACCGGAAGGUGCGGCUGGAACACCU